CCCGAUGCCAGGAGCAUGCGCAAGGCUCCUGCACAUGCUCAGUAGCACUGACGCGUCUCCAUUCCCUUCCCCAGUGUUGAAAGCAUGGAGCUCGGUACCUACGAACGAAAUCCGCUUCUCCGAGUUUUAGAGGCAACUCGUAAACGAGAAUAAGGAAAGUGCCGGGAACCAAGGAAGAGUUAGCUGUCAAUGUUAGAAUGGUGAAAGGAGUGGAGGAACCAAAAGCUAAGAAGAGAGAAAUGAAGUGACCAUCCCCUCAGUUGGCAAUGACAGAUAAGACUGGAAUGUGGUGCUCUAAACUUCAGGAUACCUCUCCAGAGAAUGGAGGUAAACCUCAGUUUCAAGGUUCAACACAAAUUUUUCCAAAAUCAGGUAAACAUGGCUGCUAUCUAGACGUGACUCGCUUCCCCUCCCCAGCACCGAACGAAAUAGACUACCUCAAAAGAGCAUAAAAAUCACCUUUGGAAGAACGGAGGUACUCUCCAGUACCCCACAGAAACGAAGGUAUGUGGGGUUUGAACAUUUCCACACUAUAAGGAGGAGGAAAAGCUCGCACAAAAACAUGAACUGAGCCGCCCUCCCCCCCCCCAAACCAGAGUAAGCUAUCAGAGCACUCACUGGGACAGUGAGUGAGUGAGGAGCGUCUCUGUCGGGCGGGGGGGGGGGCACAUCAGGGUCCUUGGGAUCUAAAGACUGCAAGGAAAAGACCUCUCAGGGCAGUUUCACGGGAGAAUCCUGCGCUGAGCACAGGGGCUGGGGAGCUGAACUCCGGGGUGGUUGCACUGAGCACCUGGGCGGAGCUGAACACCUGGGAAGGCCACACUGAAUGCCAGGGUGGUUGGCGUGAACACAGGGGCCCAUGCUCUAAGAAACCUCGGAGGCUGGGAAGAACUAGUCUGAGGCAACCUAAAUUCACAGAAAACCUGCCCAUAUCACCCAGACCGCAGAUCAAAAAAGAAAGUGGAAUAAAACCACCAAAGGGAUGGCUCACAUGGCCCAAAACCAAGCAUCCAAGAAGAAAGGGGGAGGGGGAGUGACUAUUGAAAACUUUUAUGGAGGGAGUACCCAAGGAAAAGAAGAGAAUAAGGAUGAAAUCCAAACAGAAUCAGAACAUGCCUCCCAAAAUGUUAACUAUCCACAAGCUCUGGAAGAUCUCAAACUGGAGCUUACCCAAAAUAUGGAAACCUUUUGGAAAAAAAUGGGAGAAAGAGAUCAGCAGUCUGAUAGACAAGACUUCACGAUUGGAGAAGGAGCUGGAAGCAUCUAAUAGAAGGGCAGACAAAGAUAAAAAGCAAAACCAGUCCCUAAUGACCAGAAUUAAGCAAAUGGAAGACAGAGAGAUUACAAAACAGCAAGAAUCAAUAAAGCAAAGCCAAAAAAAUUAAUGAACAAAAGAAAACAUAAAAUAUCUCACUAUAAAGGUGACAGACUUGGAAAACAGAGGAAGAAGAGACAACCUCGGAAUUAUUGGUCUCCCUGAAAAACCAGAGAUAAACAAAAACAUCAAUGCUAUUCUACAGGAGAUUAUAGAAGAAAAUUGCCCACAUAUUCUGGAGCAAGGGGGCAAAAUAGAAAUAGAAAGGGUUCAUAGAACACCCUCUAUACUAAAUCCCCAAAAGACAACCCCCCAGGAAUGUGAUCACCAAAUUCAAAACUUCCAAGAAAAAGAGAAACUCCUACAAGAAGCCAAGAAGAGGAGCUUCAGAUAUAGGGGGGCUCCCAUAAGGAUCACACAGGACUUAGCGGCUAACACACUAAGAGACUGCAAAGCAUGGAACAUGAUAUUUAGAAAGGCAAGAGAGCUGGGUCUCCAACCAAGAAUCAACUACCCAGCAAAACUGACUAUAUACUUUCAGAGGAAAGUAUGGGCAUUCACCAACAAAAUAGAAGAUUUCCAAGCAUUUGCUAAGAAAAGACCAGAACUUAGUGGAAAAUUUGAUAUCCAAGCACAGAAAGCAAGAGAAACAUGAAAAGGUAAAUAUGAAAGAAAGGGAAAAGGAGAUAAAUCUUAUCUUUUUCUUUAAGUCAAACUCUCUUCUAUAAGGACUACAUUUACAUCAAAUUAUAUAUAUUAAUAUGUGGGGAAAAUGUUUUGUGUAACUCUCAAAAAUUGUAUGCAUCAUAAGAGUAGUGAGAAGAAUUAUGCAUAGGGAAAGAUUGGGGCAUCAAGAAGAUUUGGUGAAAGUGGGGGCAAAGAAAGAAAAAGGGAGGGGGGAAUCAUCGAUAAUACUAACAUUUACUUCAAGAAAUGGGGGAGGGGACUAAAUAGAAUAAUCUUUCCCAUACAAAGAUACACAUUGGAAGGGGAGGGGAAGAACUCUGUAAUGAGGAGAGGAAGAGAGCGUGAAGUGCAAUUACUUAAACCUUACUCUCAGUGAAAUCAAAUCUGAAAGGGAAGAACAUCUAGAUCCAUUGGGAUCUUGAAUUCUAUCUUAUCCAAUAGGGCAAGAAAGAAAGGAAAAUUAAGGAGGGGGAGGGGAAGGGAGGAUAAAAAGGGAGGGGCUAGAAAGGGAAGCAUAUCAAGGGAGGGGACUAGGGGGACUGACCUAAAGUAAAUCACUGGUUCAAAAGGAGAUAGCUAAAGAAGAAAGGUCAGAACUAGGGAAAGAUAUCAAAAUGCUAGCGAAUCCAUAAAUGACAAUCAUAACUUUGAACAUGAAUGGGAUGAACUCACCCAUAAAACAUAGACAAACAGCAGAUUGGAUUAGAACCCCAAACCCUACCAUUUGUUGUCUUCAAGAAACACAUAUGAGGCGGGUUGACACUCACAAGGUUAGAAUUAAAGGUUGGAGUAAGACCUUUUGGGCCUCAACUGAUAGAAAGAAGGCAGGAGUUGCAAUCAUGAUAUCUGACAAAGCCAAAGCAAAAAUAGACCUGAUCAAAAGGGAUAGGAAAGGUAAACAUAUUUUGUUUAAAGGGACUAUAGACAAUGAGGAAAUAUCACUAAUCAACAUAUAUGCACCAAAUGGUAUAGCAUCCAAAAUUUUAAUGGAGAAACUAGGAGAAUUGAAGGAGGAAAUAGACAGUCAAACCAUAUUAGUGGGAGACUUGAACCAACCACUAUCAAAUUUAGAUAAAUCAAACCAAAAAAUAAAUAAGAAAGAGGUAAAAGAGGUGAAUGAAAUCUUAGAAAAAUUAGAGUUAAUAGACAUAUGGAGAAAAAUAAAUAGGGACAAAAAGGAAUACACCUUCUUCUCAGCACCACAUGGCACAUUCACAAAAAUAGAUCAUACACUAGGUCACAAAAACAUGGAACUCAAAUGCAGAAAAGCAGAUAUAAUAAAUGCAACCUUUUCAGAUCAUAAAGCAAUAUAAAUAUUGAUCAUAAAGGGUACAUGGAGAGCCAAAUCAAAAAUUAAUUGGAAAUUAAAUAAUAUGAUACUCCAAAAUUGGUUAGUUAGAGAACAAAUCAUAGAAACAAUUAAUAAUUUCAUUGAGGAAAAUGACAAUGGUGAGACAUCCUUUCAAACCUUGAGAUGCAGCCAAAGCAGUACUUAGAGGAAAAUUCCUAUCUAUGAGUGCAUAUAUUAACAAAUUAGGGAGGGCAAAGAUCAAUGAAUUGGAAAUGCAAAUCAAAAAACUUGAGAACAAACAAAUUAAAAACCCCCAGAAGAAAACCAAACUAGAGAUCCUAAAAAUUAAUGGAGAAAUUAAUAAAAUCGAAAGUGAUAGAACUAUUGAGCUAAUAAACAAGACUAGAAGCUGGUACUUUGAAAAAACAAACAAAAUAGACAAAGUAAUGGUCAAUCUAAUUAAAAAAAGGAAAGAAGAAAGGCAAAUUAACAGCAUCAAGGAUGAAAAGGGGGACCUCACCUCCAACGAAGAGGAAAUUAAGGCAAUAAUUAAAAACUACUUUGCACAAUUAUAUGGCAAUAAUAUACCAACUUAGGUGAUAUGGCUGAAUAUUUACAAAAAUAUAAAUUGCCUAGACUAACAGAAGAAGAAAUCGAAUGCUUAAAUAAUCCCAUAUCAGAAAAAGAAAUCCAACAGGCCAUCAAAGAACUCCCUAAAAAAAAAUCCCCAGGGCCUGAUGGAUUCACCAGCGAAUUCUAUCAAACAUUCAAAGAACAACUAACCCCAAUACUAUACAAACUAUUUGACAUAAGAAGCAAAGAGGGAGUUCUACCAAAUUCCUUUUAUGACACAAACAUGGUACUAAUUCCAAAACCUGGCAAGCCAAAAACUGAGAAAGAAAAUUAUAGACCAAUCUCCCUAAUGAAUAUAGAUGCAAAAAUCUUAAAUAGGAUACUAGCAAAAAGACUCCAGCAAGUGAUCAGAAGAGUCAUUCACCAUGAUCAAGUAGGAUUUAUACCAGGAAUGCAGGGCUGGUUCAAUAUUAGGAAAACCAUCCACAUAAUUGACCACAUCAACAAGCAAACCAACAAAAAUCAUAUGAUUAUUUCAAUAGGUGCAGAAAAAGCCUUUGAUAAAAUACAACACUCAUUCCUAUUGAAAACACUAGAAAGCAUAGGAAUAGAAAGGCUGUUCCUAAAAAUAAUAAACAGUAUAUAUCUAAAACUAUCAACUAAUAUCAUCUGCAAUGGGGAUAAACUAGAUGCAUUCCCAUUAAGAUCAGGAGUGAAACAAGGAUGUCCAUUAUCACCUCUAUUAAGGCUUCCUCGAACCUGUGAGAAGCCUCAAGGUAGGAUGAUAGAGGAAGGAUAGAAGUUCUGGAUGCCACGAGGGGGAUGGCAGAGCCAAGUUAGAGAUAUGAGGUGGCAGGAAUGAGUCAGAAACCCAGGCCUCAUUAAUUAUCAAGGAGCCACAGCAAAAACUCUGAUCAGUGGACUACUCAGAAAGCUUAUACCCGUCCAAAGAUCCAAAUUUAAUACCACACAGGUCAGAGACGUGAUAGAGAGAAGAAAGUGCCUGGCCAAAAGCCAGGUCCCAGGUGGGAGAGGUAGAUCAGGAAAGGAAUCAAAGAUGGAGCUUGGCCAGAGGCCAAGCUCCAGCAAGGACAGGCAUCAGAGAGAUCUGAGAUCCAAGUGAAAGAGAGGGGCGGAGCUUGCUGUGGCCCUGUAUUUAAUUUCUUUGAUAUGCAAAUAUUCACAAUACAUAGGGAUGAUUAUCAUUUGUUAAGGACAAGGUAUAGGUGUGGUUUCUCUUAGCCAGGUGAGCACAAAGAAACCUGUUUUCCUGCCUAACCUGGGGGAAGCUGGAUUCAAGGGUCAGAGGCUUUCCCAGCCAUGCACAAGACUGAGCAUGCUCUCUUCUAAGCCACUCUGUACAUACUAACUGUUUCCCUUGCCCAUAGCUAGGGGUGGACUGCUACAUCAACCCCUUUUUGUUUGUCUAUACCCUUGUUGAUAACAGCAUUUCUUACAAUACAAGUGGUAGAUUUACAAUGCAUACAAUAUAAAUUCCUUUUGACAGUAUCAUAUACAAAAUACAAGAUAUACAUUAGUAGCUAAACAAUUGUAGCUAUUUCAUCUCAUUACCAUAGUAAAGUCUUUGGAGUGUGGGAUAUAGCUGGUGUCUUAUACAGGCAUGAGUGUGUCUUAGUCCUUCUGAGUUAGCAUGCUUGAUGUUGUUCUGGGUACAACAUAUCAAUGGAUGUCAACAUGACAAGUGUCCAUCAGUAGCCUACUAGCAAAUGUCUCUAAUAGUGUAAUGUCAUUGUUCUGGAGUGAUAUUAGUCACCAAAGAAAUGUCCUUCCAGCCUGUCUGGAUUGUAGCUGGCAUGUAGAUAGCUGAUGUCAACAGCGUCCGUCUGCUUCUCUUCCUGGUCUGUGUGAGCUGGAAUGAAGCUCUUUGUGGGUGACCAGAUGGUUUCAUUAUCUGUGAACAUACAAACAAGACCUCAACCCAACGUUAUCAUCCCCUUGGGUCCCUUACAGUCUCAAUAUCCUGAUGAUAUUCAACCUAAUUCAGGUAUAUCAUACAAUAUAAUCUUUAUCAUUACAUUCAAUACUGAUUAUUGCAUAGCUGUAACUUAUAUUCCUUCUGGGGUGUAGAAGAGAUAGAUGAUUAGUGAUACCAUAUCCACCUUUUUUUCUUAUGAAAGUGGAACUAUCACAGCUUAACAAAAUUGACUUCUAGAUAAGUCUGAUUCUAAUAAAGGCAUGUUGAUGUUUGCAAAUAUAAUGUACCCUUUAAGACAAUAAUCAUAAUUAUAUUUUGAAUAGUAAUACCAUGUUGUGCUGCAAUUGGACAGCAUUCAUUGUGGUGUCAUAACAUUCACAAUUGUACCCUUUGAUAUUUGAUCAAAUUUGGCUAACAUGGAACAAUUCCAAUAAAAUGAUUGUAAGUUACACAUUGUACCAAUACCAUUCAAAAUUUUCGGUCAUAUGAUAAAGUUAGAUCUUAUAACAAGUACCCAUAUAUUCAUAGAACAGAAUAUCUGUCAGUGACUUAAGGAUAUUCUUCUGCAUGUAAAUAGUUUUUCAUACAAGUACAUUCGUGUGGAUAGUGUGUUAAGCCUGCCUAAAAGGCCGUGUCAUUGCCUUUACAGUGCAUGUGCUGCUUUUCUGGUGUCCUGUGCCAGACACCUCUGACAUCUGUCCUUCUUCUGGGCAGAUUUUCUUGCCAUCAGAUGCUCUUGGUCAUCUUCCAUGGACUUCACGUAUCUGAGAAAAUAGACAGAGAAUCUCGACCCCAAAUGAAAGCCUCAUUGGGUCUUAGAAUGUUAGAAAGUGACAGAACAUAUCUACCUUCAGUUUUUGAACCUUGGGGCUCAUGAAUUCCUUUGAGCUCUAUUUACCAUAGCUUGCAUUUAAGCCAUGAGCUAUCCAAUUCAACCCAUGCAUUGCUGUUAAAAGCAUUGCUAUCCCAAGCUGUUUGGAAUAGACAAUUGUGCACAAUUUUUCACAAGAUCUGUAACUACUUUGCUCACUUCUUCAUUUGAGCUUGAACCCAUAAACCAGGAGAGUAAGUACCUCCUAUUAUUUCUCACAGUUCAACCUUUAUGCCAGGAGCAUGUUGAAAUGCAUCCUUUGCUCCAAAAUAUGCAGUAGAUAGCUAUCAGGGGUGAAAUUAAUCCACAACAGUUUGCAUUGAUAAGCAAUAUCACAUGCUUGUACAGGAUAUAGAUGUACAAUAGAUUUGGCCCUCUGCUAGAGCAGAGAAUGCUAGCAGCUGUGCGCUCAAAGCAAGUUAUGUGUACCUUUGCAAAUCAGCAUGCAUAGAUGCUUAAACAUUUGCCUUUUCAAACCCAUAAUCAUAAAACCAUCAUACCAUAAAUCACGUAUGAUUUGACCCACGUGUGCUGUGAUCUUAAGCAUUUGUCUGCACACAAUUUUUGCUUUUUGAAAAAAUUUAUAUUGUGCAAUUAUUAAAAUUAUAGUAUUGCCUUAUGCUGUAAAAGUAUGCACAGCAUUAUCAAACAGUUGCACAGGAGUUGUUAUUUCUGAACUAUUGCAGUUAACUUCAUAACUGAAAAAAAAACUAUGACUAGGAUUAUUACCUUCAUCUGCCAAUUCUGCAAACCUUCACUGCAAAAAUAGAUCAUAUUGUGCAAGUAACAUUUGAAUUUGCAUUAUUAUCAUAGGUCUCACUUUACUAUCAUGAUCAACUUCAAUAUCUGUAAUUUGAGUAAAUGGUAGUGUUGCCCAUUUCAAAUCAUUAAUAAAUCACUGUACUGAAUAAGAAAUUACUUGAUAACUUUAAUAAUUAACUACUGGUAAACAGAUUAAAUCCUUCUAACCAUGCUUCCACUCUGCUGAGCAUGUGUCUCAGUUUUCCAUAGUUGAAGCUAUUCUAGUUAUAAAUCAUUUGCUUUCUGUAUACAGAUGCAUUAAUAUGCCUCAUAAAGUUUCUGAACUGCAUACAGGUUGUUUGAAUAAUCUCUGCCCAAUUUUUAUCUUGUUGCCAUUAUGUCCUGCUUAGGAAAUUGUUAAUAAUUCCUCCAUAGUUAAAAUUAGAAAGCAUUAGAAAUUCCUUUAAAUCAUAUUACAAUUCAUGCUUGUCAUAUCUUAGUAAUCAAUUUUCCUUCUAGCCAAUUACAGUGUUAGCAAUAAAAACUUGCAGGGAUGCUGCCUUCCACAUGGCUCCAGGGAAGCCAUGUGGCUGAGAGAGAGAAAAAAAAAUUUCAUGCAGCUUUACAUCUAAGCCCAAACCUUAAAAUUAAUGUUUGAUAUUCUGUAGCCUUUCACAAAAGUCAGGGAAAGAUCUUUAUCUUUUUAACUUCCUCUAUCAAGAAAUAUAAGCAGACAUUCCUUUACAAUUUUGCCUUGUCCAACCCAAAUAAGAACAAUUUAAAUUCCUAAAUUUUACUUCACUGUGGUUUCCUGGUAAAGUCAGAUUUUUUCCUUUCACAAAAGCCUGCCUUCACCUGGCCAGACCUCAAACAAAGGAUUUCCUAGGACCCUUUACAAAUGGUAAAGUUGUGGCUCAGUUUGCUGACAAGAAAAGCAGUUUGCCCUUUCGGACUACAGAAUCACCAAAUAUCUUUUCAAACUAGGCUUUUUUAAAGUACUCAGGAUUAUUACCUUGAUUUAUCAAUUUUGCUGAGACCUGUGGUUUUAUUAGAAAAAGUUUUUUUAGAAAUUAUCUCUGUUGCCAUUUGAUUCUGAUACUAAAAGUGCCCUGCUUUGUUUGAGUCAAAGCAACCAUUUCCUGCUAAGCCUUUCAAAUUCAUGAGUUAGACAACUUCUGAAAAGGCACAGGAUUUUUCCUGUAAAGAUUAGCUUGCUCCCUACAGAACUUUUGAAACAAAGUGUUUAAGUAAAGAACUCCUUUGCAAUAAACUUAUUUUUGCAGUAGCUUCUGCCUUGAUAGGUUUUUUCUAGCCUUUCACACUUUCACAUACUGCCCCAUUUGGAUUUGUAUAGAAGCCUGGAUGUCCGAGCUUUUGUCUUAGGACCCAGUAAAUUUGACUUUGCACUUUCCAGAUUAAAUCUUAAUUCCUGCUGGAGACCUGCCUUUCACUUCAUUGUAGAUGUGACAUUCUGAUUUUCCCUUGGUAAUACAGGGAAAGCUAAAUAUUCUGCCUUCUUUUUUACUGGUGGAAGGAAGGGAACUGCAUGAGCUCUGGGAGAGUGGCUGCACCCUCCCCCGUCUUGGAAUACAGUCACCCCCGAGGUCUGCUUCCUACCUGCUCCAUUUGAAAUUCACUAUGCGGUCAACUGCCUGUUUUAGACAUAGGAGAUUUCCCAAGUUACAGAAAUCGUGUCAGUGAGACGUUGGGGGUGGGUUUACAGCCUUCACGGCUUCAGAAGUCCUUCGCUAAAGUCAGACCCAGCCACCAGCUACCAAUCGCUGUGGUGAGGUUUUGCUGGGUUGGAUUCUCCCACUCCUCCCCCACCUCAGACUUAGCCUCAGGUUACCAAGCCUGUUGUUUUAUAUUUGUUUCAAAGGAGAGGAAAUCUCUGAGCUUUUAAAUUGGUAUCUCCUUGGCCAGCACCUGCCUGUUCCUGCUUUGUGCUGAAGCCUGUGGCUUUGUUUCCUGCAUUUGUGAAAUUGCUUUCUCCCCAGAACUAGAAGUUUGGAAAGAUAAAACAGUUUGAAUCAUACUCCGACUGACCAUGUGUUCAGUAGUUUGCCUGCCUCAGAUUUCCUCAUCAUGAUAUUUUUUCAAUCUUAGUCUCAGGUAGUUUUGGUUUUUGAGACCUUACUUCCUCCCAUGUCAAUCACUGACAUUAAGAGUCGAACAGGGUUCAGAGGACCAAUCACCCCACCUCAGCAGAGGAAGACUUACCAUCCUUGGCCAAAAGACCGGCAAACUUCCUCGGACUCCAUCACCACCAGCCUUCUUUUGUUCUUUUCCUCGCGUGAGGGGCCGCGUUCUGCCCCAGCUGUGUGAAAUAAAGAGUUGAAAGUCACGAGGGCGCCAGAAUGAGGCUUCCUCGAACCCGCGAGAAGCCUCAAGGUAGGAUGAUAGAGGAAGGAUAGAAGUUCUGGAUGCCGCGAGGGGGGUGGCAGAGCCAAGUUAGAGAUAUGAGGUGGCAGGAAUGAGUCAGAAAUCCAGGCCUCAUUAAUUAUCAAGGAGCCACAGCAAAAACUCCGAUCAGUGGACUACUCAGAAGACUUAUACCUGUCCAAAGAUCCAAAUUUAAUACCACACAGGUCGGAGACAUGAUAGAGAGAAGAAAGUGCCUGGCCAAAAGCCAGGUCCCAGGUGGGAGAGGUAGAUCAGGAAAGGAAUCAAAGAUGCCAGCAAGGACAGGCAUCAGAGAGAUCUGAGAUCCAAGUGAAAGAGAGGGGCGGAGCUUGCUGUGGCCCUGUAUUUAAUCUCUUUGAUAUGCAAAUAUACACAAUACAUAGGGAUGAUUAUCAUUGGUUAAUGACAAGGUAUAGGUGUGGUUUCUCUUAGCCAGGUGAGCACAAAGAAACCUGUUUUCCUGCCUAACCUGGGGGAAGCUGGAUUCAAGGGUCAGAGGCUUUCCCAGCCAUGCACAAGACUGAGCAUGCUCUCUUCUAAGCCACUCUGUACAUACUAACUGUUUCCCUUGCCCAUAGCUAGGGGUGGACUGCUAUAUCUAUUAUUUUACAUUGUACUAGAAACACUAGCAGUAGCAAUUAGAGAAGAAAAAUAAAUUGAAGGCAUUAAAAUUGGCAAUGAGGAGACCAAGUUAUCACUCUUUGCGGAUGACAUGAUGGUCUACUUAAAGAAUCCUAAAGAUUCAACCAAAAAGCUAAUCAAAAUAAUCAACAACUUUAGCAAAGUUGCAGGAUACAAAAUAAAUCCACAUAAGUCAUCAGCAUUUCUAUAUAUUUCCAACACAGCUCAGCAGCAAGAACUAGAAAGAGAAAUCCCAUUCAAAAUUACCUUAGACAAAAUAAAAUUCUUAGGAAUCUAUCUCCCGAGCCAAACACAGAAACUUUAUGAACACAACUACAAAACACUCUCCACAUAACUAAAACUAGACUUGAACAAUUGGAAAAACAUUAACUGCUCAUGGUAGGACAAGCCAAUAUAAUAAAAAUGACCAUCCUACCUAAACUCAUCUAUCUAUUUAGUGCCAUACCCAUGGAACUUCCAAAAAAAUUUUUUACUGAUCUAGAAAAAACCAUAACAAAGUUCAUUUGGAAGAACAAAGGAUCAAGGAUAUCCAGGGAAAUAAUGAAAAAAAAAUACAAAGGAAGGGGGCUUGCAGUCCCAGAUCUCAGACUAUAUUAUAAAGCAGCGGUCAUCAAAACAAUUUGGUACUGGCUAAGAGACAGAAAGGAGGAUCAGUGGAAUAGACUUGGGAUAAGUGACCUCAGCAAGACCAUAUAUGAUAAACCCAAAGAUCCCAGCAUAUGGGACAAAAAUCCACUAUUUCAUAAAAACUUCUGGGAAAAUUGGAGGACAGUGUGGGAAAGAUUAGGUUUAGAUCAACACCUCACACCCUACACCAAGAUAAAUUCAAAAUGGGUGAAUGACUUGAACAUAAAGAAGGAAACUAUAAGAAAAUUAGGCGAACACAGAAUAGUCAGACCUCUGGGAGGGAGAGGCUUUAAAACCAAGCAAGACUUAGAAAGAGUCACAAAAUGCAAAAUAAAUUAUCUGGAAUACAUCAAAUUAAAAAAGUUUUUAUACAAACAAAACCAAUGUAACUAAAAUCAGAAGGGAAACAACAAAUUGGGAAAUAAUCUUCAUAAAAACCUCUGACAAAGGUUUAAUUACUCAAAUUUACAAAGAGCUAAAUCAAUUGUACAAAAAAUCAAGCCAUUCUCCAAUUGAUAAAUGGGCAAGGGACAUGAACAGGCAGUUCUCAGCCAAAGAAAUCAAAACUAUUAAUAAACAUAUGAAAAUGUGUUCUACAUCUCUUAUAAUCAGUGAGAUACAAAUCAAAACAACCCUGAAGUAUCACCUCACACCUAGCAGAUUGGCUAACAUGACAGCAAAGGAAAGUAAUGAAUGAUGGAGGGGAUGUGGCAAAGUGGGGACACUAAUUCAUUGCUGGUGGAGUUGUGAAUUAAUCCAACCAUUCUGGAGGGCAAUUUGGAUCUAUGCCCAAAGGGUGAUAAAAGACUGUCUCCCCUUUGAUCCAGCUAUAGCACUGCUGGGUUUGUACCCCAAAGAGACAAUAAGUAAAAAGACUUGUACAAGAAUAUUCAUAGCUGCACUUUUUGUGGGGGCCAAAAAUUGGAAAAUGAGUGGAUGCCCUUCAGUUGGGGAAUGGCUGAACAAAUUGUGGUAUAUGUUGGUGAUGAAAUACUAUUGUGCUAAAAGAAAUAAUAAAGUAGAGGAAUUCCAUGGAGACUGGAACAACCUCCAAGAAGUGAUGCAAAGCGAAAGGAGUAGAACCAGGAAAACAUUAUACACAGAGACUGAUACACUGUGGUACAAUAGAAGGUAAUGGACUUCUCCAUUAGUGUCAAUGCAAUGUCCCUUAACAAUCUGCAGGGAUCUAAAAAACACUACCCACAAGCAGAUGAUAAACUAUGGGAAUAAAAACACUGAGGAAAAGCAACUGCUUGACUACAGAGGGGAAGGGGAUAUGACUGAGGAGAGACUCUAAAUGAACACUCUAAUGCAAAUACCAAGAACAUGGAAAUCGGUUUGAACCAAGAACACAUGUGAUACCCAGUGGAAUCGUGCGUCGGCUAUGGGAGAGGUGGUGGGAAGGGGUUGGGGGAGGAAAAGAAAAUGAUCUUUGUUUCCAAUGAAUAAUGUUUGGAAAUGACCAAAUAAAAUAAUGUUUAAAGUGAAAAAAAUUCAAAUCAAAAAGAAAGAAAUAAAAAAAAAUGACUUUGUUCUGAGUAUGAGACCAGAUGGAAAUGAGGAAUGGAAAAGAGGAAUCCACAGGGCAAGUUCCACAAGAAAGUGACAGAAACUGGAUGGUAGAGCCCAGAAUGAUUAUAUCAGAAAUUUUGAUUCCAUGAGGAAUGAAAAGAACAGAAAAGGACUAGAUAAUUAUAGGGAUUAUGAAACAGAAAAUAAGGGUCUAGAGUAGACAGAAAGAAAAAGUAAAUAAUUAAGAGAGUGAGAGAAAUACUCUUAGGAAAGGGGCACAAAAAUAAAAUAAAAAAUUCAUCAACAGAACUAGUUAAAAGAAAAAAGCAAAGAACAGAAAUUAAGUUAUCAGAUAAAAUCAAGAAAGAAAAAGAAGUUAAGGAAAACUCCAAAGGGAAAGUGAUAACAAAUGGAAAUGGGGAGUCGGGGAUGAAAGAAGGAGAGUUAAUGAGAGCAGGGCCUCUUUUAAAAAAAAUGAAUAAGCUAAAGUAACUGAAGGAACAUAAUAUGUUUAGAGUAGAAAAGGGAAGAAAAAGCAUAAGUGGAAAAAAUAGAGAAUACAAAUGGAAGAAAAUAAAAACCCAACUCCCAUAAUUUUAAAUGUGAAUAGGUUAAAUAAUGCAAUAAAUUGGAAACAAGUGACAGGUUGGAUAAGAAAAAAAAUUCUUCCAUCUGUUACUUAUAAGAAACACAUUUUUUUUUAAAAAAGACAUAAACAAAACAAAACUGAGGGCUAGAAAAAAUUUGCUAUUCUUAAAAUGAAUUCCCAAAGCAAGCAUUGCAAUCAUGCUAUCUGACAAAGAAAAAAACAUUUUCAAUAAAAAAAAAAGAAUAAAUGAGGAGUCUACCUUCUACUGAACAAUCAACCUAAGCACUCAACAAAUAAGUAUCAGUAAGAAACCUAACUGCUCCAAAUGCCUUAGGAUUUAAAUUCAUGAAGGAAACAUUAACGGUAGCAAAAAGAUAUGCACACUAACACAAUUAGGGCAAGAAAUCCCUCUCUCGGUUUUAGAUAAAUCUUAACAGAAAGGUAAAGAAAGAGGAAAACAUGGAACUGAAAAAAUUGAUGGAGAAAACAGAGCUAAAAGACUUAUGGCAUUUUCUAAAUGGGACUGCAAAAGAAUAUACAUGUAUCUCAGUCCCACACUGAACUUCUACAAAUACUAAUUAUAUAUUAGGACACAGAGACAUAGUAAACAAAUGCCAAAAGGACAAAAUAGUAUAUUUAUUCUUUAUAAACCAUAACAGAAAAAAAAGUCAGGGCUACAAACAAGAAACACAGACCCAAAUGGAAAAACAACAAAUAAUGAAAUGGUAAAUAAUGAGUGAAUAAAAGA